rnacentral:lncRNA from 1 species
AAUGACCCCGUCAUUGACCUCAACUACAUGGUUUACAUGUUCGAGUAUGAUUCCACCCAUGGCAAAUUCCAUGGCACUGUCAAGGCUGAGAAAGGGAAGCUUGUCAUCAAUGGAAAUCCCAUCACCAUCUUCCAGGAGCAAGAUCCCUCCAAAAUCAAAUGGGGCGAUGCUGGCGCUGAAUAUGUUGUGAAGUCCACCAGCGUCUUUCACCAUGGAGAAGGCUGGGGCUGACUUGCAGGGAGGAGCUACAAGGGUCAUCAUCUCUGCCCCCUCUGCUGAUGCCCCCAUGUUCGUGAUGGGCAUGAACCACAAGAAGUAUGACAACAGACUCAAUAUCGUCAGCUAUGCCUCCUGCACCACCAACUGCUUAGUGCCCCUGGGCGAGGUCAUCCAUGACAACUUUGGUAUUGUGGAAAGAUUCCAGAAUACAGUCCACGCCAUCACUGCCACCCAGAAGAUUGUGGAUGGCCUCUCUGGGAAACUGUGGUGCGACGGCUGCGGGGCUCUCCAGAACAUCACCCCUGCCUCUACUGGCAUUGCCCUCAAAGACCAUUUUGUCAAGCUCAUUUCCUGGUAUGACAACGAAUUUGGCUACAGCAACAGGGUGGUGGACCUCAUGGGCCACAUGGCCUC